UACAGAGGGUGCGAGCGUUAAUCGGAAUUACUGGGCGUAAAGCGUGCGUAGACGGUUUCGUAAGUCGGGUGUGAAAUCCCCGGGCUCAACCUGGGAAUUGCAUUCGAAACUGCGAGGCUAGGGUACGGAAGAGGGAGCGGAAUUUCUGGUGUAGCGGUGAAAUGCGUAGAUAUCAGAAGGAACAUCAGUGGCGAAAGCGGCUCCUGGUCCAGUACCGACGUUCAGGCACGAAAGCGUGGGGAGCAAACAGG
rnacentral:rRNA from 1 species